rnacentral:rRNA from 1 species
UCGAGAAUUUUUCUCAAUGGGGGAAACCCUGAAGGAGCGACGCCGCGUGGAGGAUGAAGGCCUUCGGGUUGUAAACUCCUGUCAUUUGAGAACAAGGUGCGCGUAUUAACUGUCCGCGCAUUGAUAGUAUCAGAAGAGGAAGGGACGGCUAACUCUGUGCCAGCAGCCGCGGUAAUACAGAGGUCCCAAGCGUUGUUCGGAUUCAUUGGGCGUAAAGGGUGCGUAGGUGGCGCCAUAAGUCAGGUGUGAAAUCUCGGGGCUUAACUCCGAAACUGCAUUUGAUACUGUGGUGCUUGAGGACUGGAGAGGAGACUGGAAUUUACGGUGUAGCAGUGAAAUGCGUAGAGAUCGUAAGGAAGACCAGUGGCGAAGGCGGGUCUCUGGACAGUUCCUGACACUGAGGCACGAAGGCCAGGGGAGCAAACGGGAUUAGAUACCCCCGUAGUCC